rnacentral:rRNA from 1 species
AUACGUAUGUCGCAAGCGUUAUCCGGAUUUAUUGGGCGUAAAGCGCGUCUAGGCGGCUUAGUAAGUCUGAUGUGAAAAUGCGGGGCUCAACCCCGUAUUGCGUUGGAAACUGCUAAACUAGAGUACUGGAGAGGUAGGCGGAACUACAAGUGUAGAGGUGAAAUUCGUAGAUAUUUGUAGGAAUGCCGAUGGGGAAGCCAGCCUACUGGACAGAUACUGACGCUAAAGCGCGAAAGCGUGGGUAGCAAACAGGAUUAGAUACCCUGGUAGUCCACGCCGUAAACGAUGAUUACUAGGUGUUGGGGGUCGAACCUCAGCGCCCAAGCUAACGCGAUAAGUAAUCCGCCUGGGGAGUACGUACGCAAGUAUGAAACUCAAAGGAAUUGGCGGGG